UUCUAGAUCCUGGCCCUGGUUGAAAUUUAGAGUAUUGCAGCUGUAGCCUGUAUACCAUACAUUCAACAUGAAAAGGACUGUCAGGGUGCUGCAUAAAAUGGUCUUAGCUAGAGCCUAGAAUGUUAAUUUCUUGGGAAUAUGCUGCAAGGAACUGACGGGGAGCAUUUUUUCAUACCAAUCAAAGAAGCAGUAAGAGACAGCCAAAGAAGUACUCAAACACUUGACAUACCCAGAAAGAUCUAGAAGAUAAG